rnacentral:sRNA from 1 species
CUGCAACCCUUGGACCCCUGGGGAUGCGGUGAAGCUUAAAGAAAUUUGUGAUUGCCCAACGAUCAGGAACAAGCUGGAGCACUUAAUUAGUGUAAUGGCAUGACUUGGUGGUGGUUCUUUUGGGCAAGGCACUUAGAUCUGCUGUGGGCGCCUUUGCGUCUGUAGUAACGCAAACCUCGCUUUACAGACACGUCGUAAAGGUGUUAGGCAUGGCGUUGACCACUAAAUUGAAUGUAUUAUUGAGUCAAUUUUUCUUCUCACAGGUGAACCUAUGGGUCGUGGAACAAAGGUUAUCCUACACCUGAAAGAAGACCAAACUGAGUACUUAGAGGAACGAAGAAUAAAGGAGAUUGUGAAGAAACAUUCUCAGUUUAUUGGAUAUCCCAUUACUCUUUUUGUGGAGAAGGAACGUGAUA